CCCAGAGCCCAGCUGCACCUGGCAGGGCCCCUCAGCAGGACCUUGCCGCCCUGCCUCCUGGCCCUGGGUCUGGAGGCCUCAGGUCACAGGUGGAGGGCAGCAUUAGCCCCCAGGGAGUGUCACAAGGAGAGCAGACCCUCCCCAGGCAGCAAGCCCAAGGAGGGACAGCGGGCUCCUCCCAGGAAGGCACCAAGGCCUGGCGGAGGGUGGCCAGGAGGAUCCUCACCUGCCUCACACGAAUGUGCUGUUGCUGCGUGGUGGCCCCCAGGACAGGACCCAGGCAGGAAAACGGGGUGGCUCGGGCCCCAGAAGGGCAGGCACGCAGAUUGCAAAACAAAGUGGUUCCUGAGAUGGUGGCCAGUUGAGAUGGAGACGCAGCCAAGCAGGCAGUUGGCAAGGAUCUGAUCAGCAUGGCGCAGGUGCUCCAUAGAGGCGUGCCACCUGCAGGCACCUCCUUCCUGUGAGUUCCAGUCCAGAGGGCCUGCUGUGGGGACAGGAUGCCUGGAGACAAGUGCUCUCCCACCAACCCCCUCCCUGGUCUGCAAGAAAGACUGAGGAAUCCUUUACCUGGGACUCCCCUCCCCCCACCGUGCUCUCCUCUGUCCCCUGUUUCUGCCAUGGCAGACAUGGCUGGUUCUUAAUAAAUUUCUCUUCCUCACAGA